rnacentral:rRNA from 1 species
GACGAACGCUGGCGGCGUGCCUAAUACAUGCAAGUUGAGCGCUGAAGGUUGGUACUUGUACCGACUGGAUGAGCAGCGAACGGGUGAGUAACGCGUGGGGAAUCUGCCUUUGAGCGGGGGACAACAUUUGGAAACGAAUGCUAAUACCGCAUAAAAACUUUAAACACAAGUUUUAAGUUUGAAAGAUGCAAUUGCAUCACUCAAAGAUGAUCCCGCGUUGUAUUAGCUAGUUGGUGAGGUAAAGGCUCACCAAGGCGAUGAUACAUAGCCGACCUGAGAGGGUGAUCGGCCACAUUGGGACUGAGACACGACCCAAACUCCUACGGGAGGCAGCAGUAGGGAAUCUUCGGCAAUGGACGAAAGUCUGACCGAGCAACGCCGCGUGAGUGAAGAAGGUUUUCGGAUCGUAAAACUCUGUUGGUAGAGAAGAACGUUGGUGAGAGUGGAAAGCUCAUCAAGUGACGGUAACUACCCAGAAAGGGACGGCUAACUACGUG